GACGAACGCUGGCGGCGUGCUUAACACAUGCAAGUCGAACGGAAAGGCCCUGCUUUUGUGGGGUUCUCGAGUGGCGAACGGGUGAGUAACACGUGAGUAACCUGCCCUUGACUUUGGGAUAACUUCAGGAAACUGGGGCUAAUACCGGAUAGGAGCUCCUGCUGCAUGGUGGGGGUUGGAAAGUUUCGGCGGUUGGGGAUGGACUCGCGGCUUAUCAGCUUGUUGGUGGGGUAGUGGCUUACCAAGGCUUUGACGGGUAGCCGGCCUGAGAGGGUGACCGGCCACAUUGGGACUGAGAUAAGGCCCAGACUACUACGGGAGGCAGCAGUGGGGAAUAUUGCACAAUGGGCGGAAGCGUGAUGAAGCAACGCAGCGUGCGGGAUGACGGCCUUCGGGUUGUAAACAGCUUUCGGCUGUGACGAAGCGUGAGUGACGGUAAUGGGUAAAGAAGCACCGGCUAACUACGUG
rnacentral:rRNA from 1 species